AGAGCUUUGGCCUCAAAUCAGGGGCCUCCUUCCCCAAGGCUGACUUACCAUCUCUGUGAAUCUGGAUUUUCUCUUCUCUACAAAGCCCCCUUCCCAGCACUUCACAUUACUAUACCUGACAGCAGCUUGAAAAGAAUCAAGAGAUUGGGUUUUAUUCUCAUUUACUUCGUUAUACAAAAUAUCCUAUUCAGCUCUCUGGAAAGCCCAAUGCAAUAAGCCUGCUCCUCUGUCCACAACGCCCCUUCGGAUGGAUGAAGACAACAGCUGUUGUUCUCACAUCUCCUCUUUCCAGCCAAACACUCCCAGAUUUUGCACCCAAUAUGAUUACCAAAUUACUACAGGAUUUAGCCGCCCUUGAGAAAGAAACAAGAAAGAACAAACAAUAGAAGUAGUUCCCUGAUGCCCAGGCUGGUGUCUUGCCUCUGGAUCGGCAGCCAGUACCGCAGUGAACUACCCGCGGAAAACAGUCACAGCCUGUUUGCCUUCCCCAGUCCCUCAGCUCCCACAGCCAAGCUGGACACCAGCUUGGACACUCCAGGGAUCUGUCUCCACCUAAACCUUGUCCCGUCCCUGCCCCUGACUGGCCCUUAUUUGAGCUGGGUCCAUUUUCUUGGCCACAUUGCUGACUGCAGUGCACGCUCAUUCCAGAAAAUGCCGACCUCUGCUCCAAGCCGCCUUGUCGGCAGUUUCCCAGACAUAGCUGGACUGUUUAUUUAUUUAUUUUUGUGUUAGCAGAGAGGAGAAAAUCACAUCGGCCUAAAAUGAAUACUAAUGAAAUGCCUUCGUUAGCUUCCUUUGUGAUCAGAAUGAAAAAUCGGAUUUCCGCAGAAUUGCAAGCCAUAUAUUUCUUUCCCCCAACCUUUUUCUCUUCUUUUUUUUUUUUUUUUUGCCCUUUCCUCUGAUAGGAAGAUUAGGGACAACCAAGAAGGAAAGUUAAAGUCAUUCCAUAAAAGAUAUCUGCAUUUUUAGGGGUGCCUUUGUUGCAGAGGGACAAGGAGGUGCAAUUUCUCCAAACCCAUUUUUCUCAGCCUGUAAAGCAAAUGUACCUAUUUGUCCUCUGCUGCAACAAUGCCAGCUGCAUUCAAUCAACUGAGAAGCUGCAAGCCAUAAACCUUCUUCCCACAGCUACAGGGGUGGGGGUGGGGGGAGGGAGCAAGCAAGAGAGGAGGCAUGCCAUAAAAAUUCAUCAGAAUAAUGUAGGGAUGAGACGCUCUCAGAUCGCCGGCAAGCAAUCAACCAAUCACUCAUCUCGUGGCAUUUACAGCACGUCUCAUUCCCCUGUUCCUUAAGGACAAUUGAUUUUUCCUGAUUCCAUUAGCAUAACGGCGUGGAAAAUGUCUGCAGUGCAAUAUUUCUGGAAAGUUCCAACAAGUAGGCUGGGCACUGGAG
ensembl:lncRNA